rnacentral:lncRNA from 1 species
ACCAGGUUGUCUCCUGCGACUUCAACAGCAACUCCCACUCUUCCACCUUUGAUGCUGGGGCUGGCAUUGCUCUCAAUGACAACUUUGUAAAGCUCAUUUCCUGGUAUGACAAUGAAUAUGGCUACAGCAACAGGGUGGUGGACCUCAUGGCCUACAUGGCCUCCAAGGAGUAAGAAACCCUGGACCACCCAGCCCAGCAAGGAUACUGAGAGCAAGAGAGAGGCCCUCAGUUGCUGAGGAGUCCCCAUCCCAACUCAGCCCCCAACACUGAGCAUCUCCCUCACAAUUCCAUCCCAGACCCCAUAACAGGAGGGGCCUAGGGAGCCCUCCCUUCUCUCUUGAAUACCAUCAAUAAAGUUCGCUGCACCCUC